CCGUUCGCCUAUGCCCGUGCCCCGAUCGCGGCGGAGCUGGCCACCCUUGGCGUCGCCGACGUAAAAGGUAAAAUUCCCCUUUCCCUUUUUGUAUUAUUUAUUUAAAACGAAAUAAAAAAAUAAAAGAAAUAAAUAGAAAAUAACAAAAAGAAAAAAAAUCAAAUUUCACCUUAAAAAAUCUUUGUAUUCUCAGUGUUUUUC
rnacentral:lncRNA from 1 species